rnacentral:misc_RNA from 1 species
UUAAGUUCAGCGGGUAUCCCUACCUGAUCCGAGGUCAAACCAUAGAUAGAUUUAAGCUUAUCUGGCGGGCGGCACCUGCACUCCGGAGCGGAUAGAUUUGACUACGCUGGGAGACCGGCACCACCGCCCACGUGUUUCUGGCACGUCCCAGACGGACGACGCCCAAUACCAAGCAGAAGCUUGAGGUUUGAAAUGACGCU